GCCAGGUAUGGUAGCACGUGCCUGUAGUCCUAGUUACUCAGGAGGCUGAGGCAGGAGGAUUGCUUGAGCCCAGGAAUUUGAGGUUACAGUGAACUAUGAUCAUGCCACUGCACUCUAGCCUGGGCAACAGAGCAAGACUCUGCCUCUA
rnacentral:SRP_RNA from 1 species